rnacentral:rRNA from 1 species
AACGAACGCUGGCGGCGCGCUUAACACAUGCAAGUCGAACGAGAAGGCGUAGCAAUACGCUUGUACAGUGGCGAACGGGUGAGUAAUACGUGGGCGACCUACCCUCGAGUGGGGAAUAACCCGCCGAAAGGCGGGCUAAUGCCGCGUACGCUUCCAUCUUUAUGGAGGUGGAAGGAAAGCCGUGCCGUGGGCACGGCGCUCAAGGAUGGGCUCACGUCCUAUCAGCUUGUUGGUAGGGAACGGCCUACCAAGGCUCCGACGGGUAGCUGGUCUGAGAGGACGAUCAGCCACACUGGCACUGCGACACGGGCCAGACUCCUACGGGAGGCAGCAGUAAGGAAUAUUGCGCAAUGGGCGAAAGCCUGACGCAGCGACGCCGCGUGGGGANGAAGGUCUUCGGAUUGUAAACCCUUUCGGAGGGAAAUGGACGAGCAAUCGUUCGGUAUGGUACCUCCAGAAGCAGCCACGGCUAACUUCGUGCCAGCAGCCGCUG